rnacentral:rRNA from 1 species
UACGGGGGGGGCAAGCGUUGUUCGGAAUUACUGGGCGUAAAGGGUUCGUAGGUGGCGUGCUAAGUCAGACGUGAAAUCCCUCGGCUUAACCGGGGAACUGCGUCUGAUACUGGAUGGCUUGAGUUCGGGAGAGGGAUGCGGAAUUCCUGGUGUAGCGGUGGAAUGCGCAGAUAUCAGGAGGAACACCGGUGGCGAAGGCGGGUCUCUGGGCAGUAACUGACGCUGAGGAGCGAAAGCGUGGGGAGCGAACAGG